rnacentral:rRNA from 1 species
GAGUUUGAUUAUGGCUCAGGAUGAACGCUGGCGGUAUGCCUUAUACAUGCAAGUCGUACGAGAGUUUUUAGCUCAAGUGGCGGACGGGUGAGUAACACGUAAGAAUUUGCCUUUAGGAGGGGGACAACAACUGGAAACGGUUGCUAAUACCCCAUAUGCUUUCGAGUGAAAUGGUUUUUCCGCCUAAAGAGAAGCUUGCGGCUGAUUAGCUUGUUGGUAGAGUAAUAGCCUACCAAGGCGACGAUCAGUAUCUGGUUUGAGAGGACGAUCAGACACACUGGAACUGAGACACGGUCCAGACUCCUACGGGAGGCAGCAGUAGGGAAUUUUCCGCAAUGGGCGAAAGCCUGACGGAGCAAUACCGCGUGAGGGAUGACUGCCUAUGGGUUGUAAACCUCUUUUUUCAGGGAGGAAUAAAUGACGUGUACCUGAAGAAUAAGCAUCGGCUAACUCCGUGCCAGCAGCCGCGGUAAGACGGAGGAUGCAAGUGUUAUCCGGAAUCACUGGGCGUAAAGCGUCUGUAGGUGGUCAAAUAAGUCAACUGUUAAAUCUUGGGGCUCAACCUCAAAAUCGCAGUCGAAACUAUUAGGCUAGAGUAUAGUAGAGGUAAAGGGAAUUUCCAGUGGAGCGGUGAAAUGCGUAGAGAUUGGAAAGAACACCGAUGGCGAAGGCACUUUACUGGGCUAUUACUGACACUCAGAGACGAAAGCUAGGGUAGCAAAUGGGAUUAGAUACCCCAGUAGUCCUAGCCGUAAACAAUGGAUACUAGGUGUUGAACAGAUCGAUCUGUGCAGUACUAAAGCUAACGCGUUAAGUAUCCCGCCUGGGAAGUAUGCACGCAAGUGUGAAACUCAAAGGAAUUGACGGGGGCCCGCACAAGCGGUGGAGCAUGUGGUUUAAUUCGAUGCAACGCGAAGAACCUUACCAGGGUUUGACAUGAUACGAAUUUCUUUGAAAAAAGAAAGUGCCUUUUGGAACGUAUACACAGGUGGUGCA